rnacentral:rRNA from 1 species
ACGGAAGGCAGCAGUGGGGAAUAUUGCGCAAUGGGGGAAACCCUGAUGCAGCGACGCCGCGUGAGUGAAGAAGUAUUUCGGUAUGUAAAGCUCUAUCAGCAGGGAAGAUAAUGACGGUACCUGACUAAGAAGCCCCGGCUAACUACGUGCCAGCAGCCGCGGUAAUACGUAGGGGGCAAGCGUUAUCCGGAUUUACUGGGUGUAAAGGGAGCGCAGGCGGUAACGCAAGCCAGAGGUGAAAACCCGGGGCUCAACCCCGAGGAUUGCCUUUGGAACUGUGGAACUGGAGUGCUGGAGGGGCAGGCGGAAUUCCUGGUGUAGCGGUGAAAUGCGUAGAUAUCAGGAGGAACACCGGUGGCGAAGGCGACCUGCUGGACAGUAACUGACGCUGAGGCUCGAAAGCGUGGGGAGCAAGCAGGAUUAGAUACCCUGGUA